GACGAACCGUGCGAACGUUGUUCGGAAUCACUGGGCUUAAAGGGCGCGUAGGCGGGCGGUCCAGUCAGGGGUGAAAUCUUUCGGCUCAACCGGAAAAGUGCCCCUGAUACUGACCACCUCGAGGGGUGUAGGGGCAUGUGGAACUAAUGGUGGAGCGGUGAAAUGCGUAGAUAUCAUUAGGAACGCCGGUGGCGAAAGCGACGUGCUGGACACCUUCUGACGCUGAGGCGCGAAAGCCAGGGGAGCAAACGGG
rnacentral:rRNA from 1 species